GAAUUUUGGACAAUGGGCGAAAGCCUGAUCCAGCAAUGCCGCGUGCAGGAUGAAGGCCUUCGGGUUGUAAACUGCUUUUGUACGGAUCGAAAAGCUUUGGGUUAAUACCCUGGAGCCAUGACGGUACCGUAAGAAUAAGCCCCGGAUCACUAAGUGCCAGCCGGCGCGGUCAUACGUAGGGUGCAAGCGUUAAUCGGAAUUACGGGGCGUAAAGCGUGCGCAGGCGGUUGUGUAGGACAGAGGUGAAAUCCCCGGGCUCAACCUGGGAACUGCCUUUGUGACUGCAAGGCUGGAGUACGGCAGAGGGGGGUGGAAUGCCGCGUGUAGCAGUGAAAUGCGUAGAUAUGCGGAGGAACACCGAUGGCGAAGGCAACCCCCUGGGCCUGUACUGACGCUCAUGCACGAAAGCGUGGGGAGCAAACA
rnacentral:rRNA from 1 species